UUCACUGUUCAGUUCUUUCUAGACUUGGUCUCGUGCAGCAUUUCAUCGGAUCACUUCCUACUUUUAUUUUUAAAGAAAAAAUCGCAUUUCAAGUAAAUUGUGUAAAAAAUGGCCUCAAACAUCCCCACAGUCAAGUUGAACAAUGGCAAGGAGAUGCCAAUUCUUGGUUUGGGAACAUGGAAGUCGAAGCCCGGUGAGGUGACACAAGCUGUGAAGGAUGCCAUUGACGCUGGUUAUCGUCACAUCGAUUGCGCGCACGUCUACCAGAACGAAAAUGAGGUUGGCGAAGGAAUUGCCGCCAAAAUUGCCGAUGGAACGGUCAAACGUGAGGAUUUGUUUGUCGUCUCGAAGCUUUGGAACACGAUGCAUCGCCCGGAUUUGGUUCGUCCCGCCUUGGAAGCUACUUUGAAACACUUGAAACUUGCCUAUUUGGACAUUUAUUUGAUUCACUGGCCCAUGGCUUACAAGGAAGAUGGCGAACUUUUCCCCACAUCUGCUGACGGAAAAGUUUUGUACUCCGACGUUGACUUUGUCGACACCUGGAAAGAGAUGGAAAAGUGCGUUGAAGCCGGUUUGACCAAAAGUAUCGGUGUUUCCAACUUUAAUUCGAAGCAACUUGAACGUCUUUUGAGUUCAUGCAAAAUUAAGCCGGUAACCAAUCAAGUUGAGUGUCACCCAUAUUUGCCACAAAAUAAGUUGGCAGCUCAUCACAAAGCUCUCGGAGUCGUUUUGACGGCAUAUUCGCCUCUUGGAUCGCCUGAUCGCCCAUGGGCCACUGCUGAUGACCCAAAAUUGCUCGAUGAGCCCCGCUUGAAGGCAAUUGCCGACAAAUACAAGAAAGAACCCGCCCAAAUUUUGAUCCGCUACCAAAUCGAGAAGGGAAAUGUCGUUAUUCCGAAAUCUGUGACAAAAUCCCGCAUCAUCUCGAACAAGGAUGUGUUCGAUUUUAAAUUAACUCCAGAGGAUGUGGCUUCAAUUGACUCGUUUGACUGCAACGGGCGCUUUGUACCGUUGACAAAUGUCAAUGAUCAUAAAGAUUACCCAUUCAACAUUGAAUUUUAAAGAAAUUCUUGUAAAUUUGAAUCGAAUGCAACCAACAUGGGCGGUAAUUCAUUAAAAAAAUCGUCAAGGAUCACAAAUAUCAUCCAUUCGCCAAUACAGAAUUCUAAAACUUUUAAAAAGUUUUUAUGAUUUCUGAUUAAAUUUUGAAAUUAACAUAAAAAUGAAUGAAUAAACGUACAAUACAACUAAAAA